rnacentral:lncRNA from 1 species
AUUACUGUACCCUCCCGGCAGCCUCCGGCAGAACACGCAGCAGCAGCAGCAGUUAGCGCUGAUGCAACUAUCGUUGCUGUUGCCACCGCCUCCCCACUGACGGGGCGUGCACCUGGGGGGUACUUGCAGUUUCCAGGGGCAACAAGCAUCUCUCUACCACCCUCUCCUGCGCCCCUGAGAGAGGCUGGUAGGUAGCAUCUUCUUCGGGCCUCCUCUAUCCACUCAGAAAGUGAUGAAGCGGAGGGGCUCCAAACGUUUGGGCUGCUCAAAAGUGGGGUUUGGGAUGCCGGUCUCAAUCGCACGCUGAGAUGCCGUUUUGCCGAAAACUAAAUGUGUCUUUAAGUGAGAGAGUGUGUAUGUUUGAAAGAGAGUGCGCGCGGUUGUGGCUGGUCCUCUGUAAUAGAACAAGACUGAAAUAACCCAGCCUGGGAUGAGGAGAAGGGAAAUUGCUAGCGCAGCUUUGCAUUUGCUCAUCAACGAUUAUAGUUAAUUGCUAAUUGCACAAAAUGAUAGUUUGAGGGCCUGUAAUUAAAAGCUUAACCUUUUCUUGUUUGGAAGAGAGGGGCCCCAUACGUUUAUUCCUCUUGAUAUACUUUGUAACAUUCAAUUACAAGAAUCGAGGAAAGAAUAAAGGAAGCAAAGACAAGACUCCUAGAAAGGGUUGGUUCUUCUUUUGUGCCUGACAGUACCUGAGUCUAUAAUUUGCUUUUUGUGUACUUCAGUUUUCUUGCACACUUAGCCCUGGUUGAGGUGCAUUGUCUGCUGUGGUCUGUUGAGCAUCUAACCAGAGUGGGAGGGCACAUCGAGCGAUUUCACUUUCUUAAAUAAAAGGUUUUUGGUAUUUUGAAAAAGUUGUUUUUAUCUUAAUUCAAACUUGGAAGGUUUCAAUAAUAUCAUAUUCUGACUCUAUUCUGUUGGUGAUCUGAAGAGCAGCGGGCACUGCCUCACUGUCUUCUCCUUGCCCUGGUUCUCCUGGAAAUUUGUCAAGGCUAGCAAUCAGAGGAGAUGUUUAUUAGGAACUUACUAUAUCCAGGAGACACACAGGAGAGGAAAAUUCCAGUCAGGAUAGGUUUCUGUGGGCCAAAGAUAUCCUGAUUGUGACUGCUAAGCAUGAAAGGGCUUAACUCUACGUAUGGAUGGUAUCUUGCACUAUAGCUCAUUUUGAAUGCUAUUUUGCCCACCCUGUGGUUACAUAGUUGAUACAAACUGCAGCAGCCACACAGGUUGCAUGUGAAACAACUGAAAUUUGUUUGUAUGACAUUUAGUAGUGAAGAUGCAUGCCGGUGUUAUUCACCUAAUGGCAUUGAGAUGUGAUAGGAAAACCUUAGUGCAUGAUGUCUUUCAUAUUCUCAGGGUUCUGAAAUGCCAUCUGAUGAGCUACUGCUUUACAGAAGAGGAAAGGAGUAGAAGGGAUGGGUGGAAUCAAUACAAAAAGAGGCAGCAUUAAUAAACAGUCAUAUGACUUGUUUUUAAUACUUUACUCAGAGAUACAGGUAUACUACAAGCUAUACAUUGAUAUGGUAUAAUAAGACUUAACUUUGAAAAACGUGUGUGAGUACUUUCUAAUUCUCCAAGGGAUAUAAAUAAACUUUCAGUGAACUUAGCUGCAGCUCUGUAUUCAAUCCUGUAGCUUUUUUGUUGACUCAAAAGAAAGCAUAACUUUUGGCUCCAUCUCUGAUUGACUGUGUAACUUGGGAAAAAUCACUGUGCCUCUCUGUGUCUGCCUUUUGGCCUGUAAACUGAAAAGAAAGCCAAGCCACAUUAUAUCAAAGUGCUCCGUGGCCUCAAGGACCAGCUCUCUGCAAGGUGUUGUUUAUUAGAAGAAAAAGGUUGUAUGGAGAAAUUCAUUGGAUUAUGAUAGAAAGUAGCUAAUAACUAAAAAGAUAAAUUGAUGAUAAGUGGAUAUUGAAGUGGUUGAACUAACAGAGCUAAUUGAUCAUAAGUGGAGACUGAAAUGGUUGAACUAACUGGGUUCAGAGAAGUUGACACUGCUGGAUUCCCGACGCCGUCAGGUAAAUGCAGAGGCAAUCCCAUUCACUCCUACAAUCCACCACAUUCAUUUAUUUGUUGAAGCAACACAUAGUGAGCAUCCCUGGCUAACGGGCACUGUGCAAAGUAGUGGGCAUACAGAAGUGCUUAUCUAGGAAGCUCAGCAUCUGGUAGGGGAGGCAGGCAAGUGGGCAACUGUAGUACCCUAUGUAUAGCACUCUGAUUAAGAGAUGCUUAAAGUGCUAGAAGAUUGCAAGGAAGAAGCAGCUAUUCUGGCUGCAGGAUGAAGGUAUCAGAAAAGGCUUCACAGAGCGUUUGUCUCUGAGCUUUUUUCAUAAUUUUUACCCGGUGAUCUGAAUUCUCCCUACUUCUGGACACAUGGUAGGAUUGGACGUCCUGGCCCCCUUAUGGUUGGAUGGGGUCGAAAGACUAACUUUGGCUAAUUAUUUGUGAGCCUAAGUUACAGGGUGCCACUUUCAGACCGGAGCACUUAAUUGCUUAUGUGAAACCCUCUCUUUGUGUCUGCGUGGUGACAAGAAAUGUUUAAGAGGUGGCUGCUGCAUUAGCCCAGGUCUCCGAGUGAUUCGAUUCAUUUAGAACUACCCAUGUGAGUAGUUCCCUGCUGUCUAUGUGUCUUUAGCACUGGUCACAUAGAGUAGAGGUUAGCAAACUAGGGCUCAUGGGCCAAGUCUAGCCAGUCACCUGCUUUUGUAUGGCCUACAAAUAAGAGUGAUCUUUACAUUUAAAAAGAGUUUUACAAAGAAGAGGAAUAGUGUGCAACAGAGACUGUAUGUUGCUCCCAAAGCCUAAAAUAUUUACCAUCUAGUCCUUUAGAAAAAAAAAAAAAUCAAACAAACUUGCCAACCCCUAACAUAGAACGGGUGAGAGAGUAGUAAAUCUUUGUCAUCUUCAUCUACUGAGAUUUUGUUACCUCAGCAUAACCUAGUGUUAACCUGACUGAUACACCAGGGGAAGAGGGAAGGAAAACCAUGGUGAGCAGAGGGCACAAAGGCAAAACAGCAGUAUCUAUUCAAGGCAAUGGAAGGGAUUCAGGGUGAUUCAAGGGUGGGGUUCAAAUGGACUAACAAUGUGAAGUAAGGCUGAAGAAGAAAGGCAAGGACUGGAUUAGCUGGAGUCUAGGAUGUCAUGCUAAGGCUUUGGAUUUUAUCCUGUGAACCAUAGUAAGGACUUGUGAUAGAUUUUGAUCAGAGGCCUGACAUCCAGUUUCUUUUACUGUGACAAUGGUAUGGAAAGCAACUUGUUUAGGGUGUGGGAUAGGGUCAGACUAGAGGAAGAAACAUUAGUUAGAGGCCCCAGUAGUGAGGGAGUGCAUUGAAGAAAGUAGAGGAGGCUGGGUGUGGUAGCUCACACCUGUAAUACCAACACUUUGAGAGGCCGAGGCAGGCAGAUCACCUGAGCUCAGGAGUUCAAGACCAGCCUGGGCAUCAUGGCAAAACCCCACAAAAAAUACAAAAAACUAGCUGGACGUGGUGGUGCGCACCUAUAGACUCAGCUACUGGGGGUGGAGGGGGGCCUGAGGCAAGAGAAUUGCUUGAGGCCUGGAGGGUGAGGCUGCAGUGAGCUGUGAUCAUGCCAUUGUACUGCUGCCUGGGUGAUUCAGGGAGCCGUGUCUCAAAAAAAAUAAUAAUAAAAAUAAGGGGAAGAAACUACCGUUUGAUUAGUCAGAAGCAUUCAAAUAAUUCCUCCAUGAGAUUUUUCUCCUUGAUUUUUUUGGCUUUAUCUCCUUGAAGCAUUUUCCAAACAUAUAUAAUCCCUGUGUAUCACUGGCUAUGUCUGCUAAAAGUACAGAUUCUCAGGCCCCUCCGUUGAUGAUCCUGAUUCAAUUGGUCUAGGGUAGAACCCAGGAAUCUGUAUAUGUAACCCUAUUCUAGUUGAUUCUUAGGAUUAGUCAUGAUUAAGAAACUGUUUUAGAGAAUGACUUCUUCAGUGCCGUUUAAUUGCUAAGUAGGUUUACUUCUGUCAUAUUUGUGUAAAUUAAUUUGUCAAAUUUCUCCUAAGGGAGUAGGUUAGGACCCAUAGAAAAUGCUAAGGUUGAUGCUUAUCAUUAUUUUUCUUCAAGAUCCUUAGACUGAUAAUAUUGGCAUCUGAAAUAAUCUUCAAACCAAUUUGCUAAUUUGUAGUACUCAUCACUGUGAUUUCUACCCCACAGCCUCAGCAUAGAAAGUAAGAUGUGAAAUGAGCUGUCCUCUUCUGGGGCCAUCCCCUUCUGAAGUGUUUCGAUGGUAACUUCACAGGCCUCCAUUCCAUUAUUUUCUAAUUGUGUGACAGCCCAGGGAAAUGAGUGGGAUUCCCCCCUUCUAGGCUCCAUGAGUAGGACCUGAUGGUCAAAAUCAGUGGGUCAUGCAUUUUAGCUUCCAUCAGAAUCACUUGGAAGGCUUGUUAAAACAUAGAUUGCUGGGCCCCACCUCCAGAGUUUCUGGAUCAGUAGGCCCAAGAAUUUGCAUUUUUAGUAAGUUCCCAGAUGAUGUUAAUGCCACUGGUCAGGGAGCAUACUUUGAGAACCACUGUUCUGAACCCAUUGACAUCACUUCCCCCCUUAGCUACUGUAAUUGGUUUAAGGGCCUCAGCCAGUCAACCUAUGACCUUCCUCUGUUGGCAUUGAUUGGAUGCUUCAGCCUUAGGCACAUUACAAAAGCUAGCUCAGUUACGACGAAGCUCAGGGCUUUUGCUUGGCUAGAAAGGCAUUAUCUUCUAAGUAAUGAGAUGUGUGGACGUAAGGCCAGAACUGCUUCUGCCAUUUUGCCACCCUGAAGGAAGCCAGUUGGAAGACGAAACUGACUUAUGGAGAAGAGGAAACUGAAAUAAAUGGCACUCAUAUUUGUAAGCCCAAGCCCAGAUCAGCUUGUUUCAAAAGCUGCCAUUCCAUCGGACUUCUUGUUUACCUGCACCAAAAAAUUCCCUUUGUUGCUGAAGUCGGUUUAGAUUGCGUUUUCUCUUACUUGCUACCUAAAUGACAGAGGUGCCCUCUUGAGGGAUGGAAUGUGCUUACCUGAAAGCAAUAGGCAAAACUCUGCACAUGGCUAACCCCUCCUGGAGGGCAUUCAGAAGAGGAAUACAGGUAUUAGUAAGGACAGUUUUGAACAACUGUAUUCUUGUGUAACCUGGCCAGAUGAAUUCCCCACUCUAAAUCAGGGGUUAAUGUGGACGUAUUAUAAGUGAAUGCCGAUUGAGGGUUACAAUCUGGUAACGACAAGGUUUUUGAAAUUCCAAGGCCAAAGACAAUUUUACACACUGCUUUUGAACAAUUUCAGAAAGUAAAAAAUGUGGCCAAAUGUAAAAACAGUGGAAAUUCCAAAAUGGGUUGAAUAUGAGGCUAGACAAAUGAUUAUUAACUGGAAGCAAUUGUAGACCCAAUCAAUGUUCGUCAAUGUCUUGAGACAUUUUUCACUGUCAUGCCUGGGGAGAGGUACUCCUGGGAGAUGUACCCUCUACUGGGUAGAGGCCAGGGAUGCUGCUGAACAUCCUACAGUGCACAGGACUGGGCCCCACAAUGAGUUAUUCAGUCUAAAAUGUCAAUGGUGCCACAGUUGAGACAUUCUGAGCUAGACUUAGGAGAAGUCAGAUGGCUCUGUAUGCGCGAGAUUUUUAUCUGGGUUGGGUGGAAGGAGAUUACUUAGGACUUGGGCGGCCUAGUAGAAAGAUGUUCUAUCUCACGACAGAGCAAGGACAAGCUGGGUUUUGUCCGGUCAAUGACAGAUGUGAAUGCAGUGUCAGAGGAGGUUGUGGGUGGAUUUACAGAACGGGGAGAUGUAAAGCAAAACACAUGUAGUUUACAUUUUAAGUUGAAAUAGGUCAGUGUAGGGCACAUUCUAGGCUGCAUUGUGAACUCACCAGGGUUCUUUGUUUUGUAGCGUUGAGUUUUGUUUCCUUUGGUUUACAAUGCAGGAAUGAAAUACUGUACCACUUAUUUUUGGAAGCCCUGAUAAUUAAUUCCUACGACUCUGGCCCCAAAUUUGAUUGUUCUCACUUGUCAUAAAUGUAAUUUAUAGGAGGUUUUGGAAUAUAGGGCUAUAGCAUUUAAAACACUCUUACAAUGGGAGUUUCUAUGGAAAUAGAGGCAUUGUGGCCUCUACCGAGUUAGUUAAGCAUAGAUUGCUUAUUAGAACAUAAGAAUUUUAAUCUGCAAGUUAGAGUAAUGAAGCAAGUUCUUUAAGUAUUACCAUUUCACCAUGAUAUUUCGUUUUUGAACUUUUAAGAGUUUUGUGGAAGUAGAUAGUUGAUUUAUUUAAUGUUUUCUUACUUAGUUAUGUAAGGAGGUUUAAAUUCAUAUUAUACUGCUGCUCACAUUCCUUGAAGGGCUGAGUUUCUGAAUGAAUAUGCUUCCUUCCAGCCUGGCUAUUUGGGAGGGUUAUGUCCUAGCAUCUCUAUAUUGUUUUGGAAACACAUUUAUGAGGAGUUCUAAUGCUGAUAAUGACCAUGUCUGCAGAGUGGAGGGGAGGCCCAGUUUUUGAGCCUGGCUUUAGGGUUAUACGGUACAUGUAAAAACUGCAAGUAACUCAGAAUUUUUGGAGGACAGAUUCCAGAGGAGAUACUGGAGAGGAAGGCAAGUACAAUUAAGGAAGGCAUUUGUAUAUUGUUUGUUUGUUUAUCCGCAAAGCAUUUAGUAAGCCAUUGAAGGUUUUUGAUCAAGAGAUGAUUUGUUUGGAUAUGAGUAUUUAUGAAUAUGACUAUCUGAAAAGGUGAUUAUGGCUGUAUGGGAUCCAGAGGGCAUUCUUGUGGUACCUGAAAGCCUUUGUGUGUUGAAUGAAUGCAGAGAGGCAGUAUUGGUUAAUGGUUAAGAGAGUGGGUGCUGGAGUGAGUCUUCCUCAGUUCAAAGCCUGGCUCUGACCCUGUGAAAUCUUAGGCAAAUUAUUUAGCCUCUCUUUAUGCCUUAGUUUUUUCAUCUGAAAAAUGGGGGUGGGAAGAACACCCACUUCUUAUGAGGGUUGGAUACAUUUAUAAUAAAGCAUUUAGAACAGUGCCUGGCAUAUAAUAAAUCAGCAGCUUCAAUGUAUAAGAGAGGCAAUUACAGGUAUGGGCCUAGGAUUUGAACAACGUAAGACUGUGGUCCUCAACCCUGAUGGUACAUUAAAGUCUCCUGGAGAGCUUUUAAGAAUAUCAACACAGGAACAACUCUAUCUAGGCCAACUGAAUAACAUGUCUGGAGUGGGGCCUGGGCACGAGCAGUUUUUAGCUUUCCAGGUGAGUCUAAUGUGCAUUCUAACUGUGACUCACUCGGUGUCAAGCCUGAAGCUGUGGCCACUGGGGUAUAGAAGGGGAGCUGUGUGGUAGGUUUUGAAUGAGAAUGCACUCUUAGGCAGACAGGGAUGUUGUGGUGACUGUGGCAGGAGAAACAAAUGCAAAUUCCUCCUAGUGUUCCACAACAGCCUCCCAGUCGUCACUUUAUGCAUCCUGCUCCUGGCCAAGCAUCUCACAUCCAGCUAGAUUUGUCAGCUGUAAGGGAGCCAAGAACCAUGGGAGGUCAGAAGCUGGGCACAGCUAGACUGUUUGGAACCCAGCUGGUGUCUACCUAUCAGGUGAUGGAUUACAUAUCACUGGUCUCAUGCCUUCACAAAUAAAUCUACCAACAAGGACUUGUUGAGCACCUUCUUUUGGGACCUACAGUGUGCCAGGUGACUGGAGGGCAGCAACCAGAUAGCAAUGUGGCUGCUCUCAGGGGUGAGUUGUUAUUGUUUUGUUUGCUUUUUCUGCAGGAGCCAAAACUCAGGCUUGUUAAGUGGUAAUUGACAGUCCUUCUAAGGAAGUUUCUCUUGGAUUUGCUGCCAAUAGGAAGAGAAUUAUUUCUCAGAGCACUAUAGCAUUCAUUUAUCGAGUGCUCACUCAAUUAUGAGGCAUGACAGAGUUUGCCACCUAAAAGAGGAAAGACCACUUAAUGAUUCCUAGAGUCAAAAGUCAGGAAUAAAUGGAUAGACAGAUCAAAGAGUUAAGGGGAUUCUAUUGUAAUUGGAGAAGCACUUUUAGCAGGAGCCAGGUCUUCCACUGAGAUCUUAAAGGAGCUCUUGAAUGAGUUGUGUGUGAGGGAAAGUAUGCUUUUGAACAUAAAGAAAUAGUGAUUUGGCCAGGUGCGGUGGCUCACGCCUGUAAUCCCAGCACUUUGGGAGGCUGAGGCGGGCAGAUCACCUGAGGUCGGAGUUUGAGACCAGCCUGACCAGCGUGGCAAAACCCCCUCUCUACUAAAAAUACUAAAAUUAGCCAGGCGUGGUGGUGGGCACCUGUAAUACCAACUACUCAGGAAGCUGAGGCAGGAGAAUCGCUUGAAACUGGGAGGUGGAGGUUGCAGUGAGCUGAGAUCGCACCAUUGCACUCCAGCCUGGGUAAUAGAGCAAGACUCCGUCUCAAAAAA